UACUGGAAGAUCUCGACGAUAUUCCCAAUUACAAUCAGUAUGUCUAUUACAGCGAACAACUUGAAAAUUAAAGAAUAUUCGGAACUUUCCUUGCCAACAGCUACUUUUUGGAGUCACCUAGUCUAAACAAGUUUGAGUUCAGUCGAGCUCAACCCGCCAGAUCAUCGACAUUUAGGCUAACACUCCUUGAGAGGACCCUCACGCACACUCACUCAUAAAGACCUCAUGGCUCUGAAUCAACAGGCACUGCAGGACUGAAAAUCUGCUCAACACCAUAAGAAAGGAGGAGAUCAUCCACACUUAGGCUAACACUCCUUGAGAGGACCCUCACGCACACUUACUCAUGAAGACAUCGUGGCUCUGAAUCAACAGGCACUGCAGGACUGAAAAUCUGCUCAACACCAUAAGAAGAGAGGAGAUCAUCCACACUCAGGCUAACACUCCUUGAGAGGACCCUCACGCACACUUACUCAUUAAGACCUCGUGGCUCUG